GGUGCUGUGGUGCAGUAGGUUAACACCCUGGCCUGAAGCGCCAGCAUCCGGUUCUAGUCCCAGCUGCUCCA
rnacentral:tRNA from 1 species